rnacentral:rRNA from 1 species
AGGAAUAUUGGUCAAUAGCCUAACGGCUGAACCAGCAACUUGGAAGAAUGAAUGGCAAUAGCCACUUACAUUAAAAAAAGAUUUUUUUUUUAAAUCUAUAGUGUGAAAUCGACUUUGUCGAAUAAAGUUCUGGAUAGAAUAUUGAUAAUGACAUUUUCUGUUUAUUUGUCUUGACCAAAUUACGUGCCAGCAGUCGCGGUAAUACGUAAAAGACUAGUGUUAUUCAUCUUUAAUAGGUUUAAAGGGUACUUAGACGGUAAAUCAAGCCAAGAUAGAAAAGGUACUAAUUUACUUGAGUAUUAUGUGAGAUGAAAAUAUGGCAGUAUUCUUGAGAGAAGAGAUGAAAUUCUGUCAUCCGUUGAGGUUACGGGUAAAAGCGAAAGCGACCAUCUAUGUAAAUACUGACGUUGAAGGACGAAGGCCUACGGUAAUUAACAGGAUUAGAUACCCAAGUAUUCGUGGCAGACAAUGAUGAAUGUCAUAGACUAGAGGUAAAAUUAAGUUUAUAAAUAUAGACUGAAAAUUUAGUCUAUAAAUGAAAGUGUAAGCAUUCCACCUCAAGAGUAAUUUGGCAACAUUGGAACUGAAAUCAUUAGACCGUUUCUGAAACCAGUAGUGAAGUAUGUUAUUUAAUUUGAUGAUCCGCAAAAAACCUUACCACAAUUUGUAUAUUUAGAUAAUAUUUACAAGCGUUGCACGGCUGUCUUCAGUUAAUGUCGUGAGAUUUUGGUUAGUUCCAUUAAAUUAACGUAAACCCUUACUUUAUUUUUAUAUAAAGUAGUUUCCCGCUAUAUUGGAUAUGACAAUAGGGACUAAGAUAAGUCAUCAUGGCCUGAAUAUUGUGGGCUAUAGACGUGCCACCAGAACCUCACAAAGGGAUGCAAAAUUGCGAAAUUGAGCUAAUCCUCCAAAAUAGGUUUUACAUGGAUUGUAGUCU